rnacentral:rRNA from 1 species
UACGUAGGGGGCAAGCGUUGUCCGGAAUCAUUGGGCGUAAAGAGCGUGUAGGCGGCUCGAUAAGUCCGCUCUGAAAGCCCGGGGCUCAACCCCGGGAGGCGGGCGGAUACUGUCGAGCUAGAGUCCGGAAGAGGCGAGUGGAAUUCCUGGUGUAGCGGUGAAAUGCGCAGAUAUCAGGAGGAACACCAAUGGCGAAGGCAGCUCGCUGGGACGUUACUGACACUGAGGCGCGAAAGCGUGGGGAGCGAACAGG